rnacentral:misc_RNA from 1 species
GAUAAUUGAACUGUUUCGUAUAUAUACUUCUUUGACUUCUCGUGUUGUCUUGCUUGUUUUUUUAUGGACUUGUGUGGAGGGUAUUUGUUUUGGUUCUUCCCAUGUUUUUAUGAAAAAAUUACCAUAUUAUGUAGCUGAUUCAAACUGUUUUCUCUCUUUCAAAUUGGGCUUUGUUUACUUGUUGCUUAUUUAUAAAUGGAAUGUAAUCUGCU